rnacentral:rRNA from 1 species
UACGAAGGGGGCUAGCGUUGUUCGGAAUUAUUGGGCGUAAAGGGCGCGUAGGCGGCCUUGCAAGUGACGGGUGAAAUCCCUCGGCUUAACCGAGGAACUGCCUGUCAGACUGCAUGGCUUGAGACCGGGAGAGGUGAGUGGAAUUCCCAGUGUAGCGGUGAAAUGCGUAGAUAUUGGGAGGAACACCAGUGGCGAAGGCGGCUCACUGGUCCGGUACUGACGCUGAGGUGCGAAAGCGUGGGGAGCAAACAGG